rnacentral:rRNA from 1 species
UACGUAGGGGGCUAGCGUUGUCCGGAAUCAUUGGGCGUAAAGUGCGCGUAGGCGGCCAGAUAAGUCCGGUGUGAAAGUCAAAGGCUCAACCUUUGAAUGCCGCUGGAAACUGUCUGGCUAGAGUCCGGGAGGGGCGAGUGGAAUUCCUGGUGUAGCGGUGAAAUGCGCAGAUAUCAGGAGGAACACCAAUGGCGAAGGCAGCUCGCUGGAACGGUACUGACGCUGAGGCGCGAAAGCGUGGGGAGCAAACAGG